rnacentral:rRNA from 1 species
GAUGAACGCUGGCGGCGUGCCUAAUACAUGCAAGUCGAGCGAACGGACGAGAAGCUUGCUCUUCUGAUGUUAGCGGCGGACGGGUGAGUAACACGUGGAUAACCUACCUAUAAGACUGGGAUAACUUCGGGAAACCGGAGCUACUACCGGAUAAUAUUUUGAACCGCAUGGUUCAAAAGUGAAAGACGGUCUUGCUGUCACUUAUAGAUGGAUCCGCGCUGCAUUAGCUAGUUGGUAAGGUAACGGCUUACCAAGGCAACGAUGCAUAGCCGACCUGAGAGGGUGAUCGGCCACACUGGAACUGAGACACGGUCCAGACUCCUACGGGAGGCAGCAGUAGGGAAUCUUCCACAAUGGGCGAAAGCCUGACGGAGCAACGCCGCGUGAGUGAUGAAGGUCUUCGGAUCGUAAAACUCUGUUAUUAGGGAAGAACAUAUGUGGAAGUAACUGUGCACAUCUUGACGGUACCUAAUCAGAAAGCCACGGCUAACUACGUG